rnacentral:lncRNA from 10 species
CAUUUUUCCUGGUCUGUGUGCUUUUUUGUUUUGCAUAUUUAUGUUUUUCUUCAGGAAAAUUUCCUAUUACAUUUUUAGAUGCUUUUCUGAUCUCUUUGAUGAGUUCUCUGCUUUAGGGGCAUCAAAUGUCUUUCUUUUGGAUUGUUUUUGUCUUUCCUUCAUUACCGUUAGCUUUCUCUGAUAGCUUUGAGUUUUUAAUUUGCAAUCAUUUGAUUAUCACAAGUUUAUUUUUCAUUGCCUCUUAUGUGAAUCUUGGCCCUAUCAAUUCUAUGCCUUCUUCCCUCCAUUCUAUUUAUUAGUUCUCUAUUGGCAUGGUUUGAUCCUCAAUUAGUUUCUUAUAU